rnacentral:misc_RNA from 1 species
AAGUCUUCAAGCCUGGCUUGGUGUUGGGUGCUGUUCGCGCUGCGCGGACUCGCCCCAAAUGUAUUGGCAGUCAGCAACAGGGUUGUUGGAGCGUAGCACAAUUUGCGCUCCCAGCCACUAGCGCUGGCGUACAUGAAG